UACGUAGGGUGCGAGCGUUGUCCGGAAUUAUUGGGCGUAAAGAGCUCGUAGGCGGCUUGUCGCGUCGUCCGUGAAAACCUGCGGCUCAACUGCAGGCUGGCGGUCGAUACGGGCAGGCUGGAGUUCGGUAGGGGAGACUGGAAUUCCUGGUGUAGCGGUGAAAUGCGCAGAUAUCAGGAGGAACACCAAUGGCGAAGGCAGCACUCUGGGACGGUACUGG
rnacentral:rRNA from 1 species